UAGCGAAUUCAUUUUUUAAAUUAUAAAAUGAAUAAACAUUUUUCAUUGACUACGUUUAAAUGAGAAAAAGUAUGAAUGCAAUUCUGAAAUUUGUGCAUGGAAUGAUCCUAUUUAUUUCUAUACUUCUUGUUGUACGUCAAGCUCCAAGUAAGUCCUUUUUCUAAUAAAAAAUAUGAAUGCAAUUCCGAAAUUUUAUUAGUUUUAUUACACACAAUAUUUAUCACAUUUGAAUAACAUUAUUUUGUAUUUUUUAUUAUAGAAAUUCAACAACAGCAAUGCAAAACGUAUAGGGAUUGUCCACAAUGUAUCUCACCUAAAACUCGCCAAUGCGUUUGGUUUAAAUGUUACUGUUUUGACGAAUUAGAUUAUUAAAUAAUUUGUUUUACUUUAAAAUUUAUAAUUUACUUUAAAUGUUUUGUGAUUUUUUUUAUCUCUUUUUUUCUCUUAUAACAUUCUCUUUGGAUCUCAGAUAAUAUGUAAUAAGUUUUUGUUAUACAUGAGUCAAGAAUAAUUUUAUCUGUUUAUUUUUUUAUUCUAUAUAUUAAUUUUGAGAUUUAUUUUGAUUCUUUAA
rnacentral:lncRNA from 1 species